AGGGCCGGGGGCGCGGCGCGUGCGCGCCUCGGAGUGACGUCACUGUCGCUCGCCGAGCGGUGGGCGGGCUGGGGACUAGAAUGGAAGGAGAUUUUGGAGAUGAGGUUUGGAAGUAUGGGUGCUUGGCUGGAUUCUAAGAUCAGCACGGAUCUGAGGCGGCCUCACGCUGCUCAUCUGUUCUCCAUCUUUAGUCUCCGCCAUUCAGAGCCUGUGUUCAUGCACCUGAGGAAGAAACCCGGAACCCAGAGCUCUGGUCUCCAUAUGGAAAGCUGGCGAGGCCACGGAGUCCUGGCCCAGUAGGACAGGGAACCGAGACAUCUCUAACUAUCACUGAACCCUACCUUCUAAAGAUGUUCUCAGAUGGAUCCUUAAUAAAAUAGAAGAGUUCACACGCAAAAAUCUAUAAAAUAGUUCACCCAUGUUCAAAUAUGUGUUCUCAUUUUCUUUUCACUUACUGCCUUACCAAAAAGCCUCUCUUGUGGAAUUCGGUGUCACAGCGGGUUAAGGAUCCAGCAUUGUCACUGCUGUGGCUCAGGUUGCUGCUGUGGCACAGGUUCCAUCCCUGGCCAGGCAUGCCAUGGGAACAGGCAGAAAAGAAAAAAAAAAAAA